GCGCCCUGCAGCUCGGCAGGGGGUCCAGGACCCGGGUGGAGGACGGGGGGGCGCUCAGCCGGGCGAGGAGCCCCCAGGGACCGGAGGGAAAUCCCAGAGACCCUCGACAGAAGGAGAAGUUCCUCAAACACCUGACAGGUCCACUUCACUUCAACCCAAAGUGCAGAAAACAUUUCCACCGACUGUACCACAACACCAGAGACUGCACGAUACCUGCCUAUUAUAAACGAUGUGCCCGUCUGCUGACUCGCCUCGCCAACAGCCCGCACUGCAAAGACAGAUGACACGCAGCGCCUGAUGGGGAUCUAAGUGAGGGCCAAUCAGUGAAGAGAAGAAGAAGAGCCCUCCGACCAAUAGGAACUCCUCUGAGGCGGCGCUGUUUCUACCAGCCAAUAGGACGCGCUGAUUUCUGCUCCCUGCCUACGGACACGUUUAGAACACGGGAGAGGAUUCGUGCCAAGUGUUAAACAUUUAUUAAUUUUAUAAUUCUGAAAAUAAAAAGUCAGAAUUCAUUUAAAGAAUAUUUUUAAUUAUUUUAUACUUCUGUACUUUUUUGUCUGAGCUCAAAUACAUUUCUUAAAUCAUUUGUAGUUAAAUAUAAGCGUUUCCCUCGUGGCUCGAUGCUCUCCGUCUCGUCUGGAAGCUCGUCGAUGCUCUCCGUCUCGUCUGGAAGCUCGUCGAUGCUCUCCGUCUCGUCUGGAAGCUCGUCGAUGCUCUCCGUCUCGUCUGGAAGCUCGUCGAUGCUCUCCGUCUCGUCUGGAAGCUCGUCGGACGGAAAGAGGAUUUCUAACGAAGCUUCAGGAUUUAUUCUCCGGCUGAACCGAGUUGGAUGUCUCCCUUUUAUCAUCAGAGGCUUCUUCUGGGCUUUUCUUUCGGACGUUUUCCCGACGCUCUCGGAGGACUUAACAGACAAAGCCUCUGAUUGGACGUCAGCUGUUGAAGGUGUUUAACAUGGUCAUUAAAAUAUCUAAUAAUAUUCCAGUAUAUUUAUAUUGUUUGAGGUGCCGCCAUGUGCAAUAUGUACAUACU